AUGUACCACUCGUACACUCCGGUUCCUGCGCGCCGUCCGCACCCACCUGACGACUGCUCGCUACGUUUGUUGGCC
rnacentral:sRNA from 1 species